rnacentral:pre_miRNA from 1 species
GCUCUGACACCAUUGCACUACUGUACGCAAUGGUGAGCAGUGCAAUUGUAUUGUCAAAGCU